rnacentral:lncRNA from 1 species
AGGGUCAUCAACACUGGCAAGAGCAAGCAGUAGGCACUAGCGCCUAGUUUAGUGGCUGGUACCAUGGUCGAUCGAUGGAGCUUGUAGCGCCGCCGCGUUGUCUGUGAGAUAGUCCGGUUCAUCUUAGAUUUCCAGUGUCUUUGAGAUUUGAGAAGGAUUGAACUUGUCGUGCACCAUUGUUCGGGAUGUCGUAGCGUGUAUGAUCCGUAUCGUUUUGUUUGGACUUGUUGUACUGUAUGGUGUUGUUGAACUACCAGUAGAAGAGUUUGGUGCUUUAAGUAUCAGCUUCUCUUCUGGCUGCCGCCCUCAUGUUUUGAGCUCCAUGGAAGUUCAGUCCUGGUUAUUUUUAGGGGUGGCAACACAUUAUUCCUAACUUGUAGGGAUAUGCACAGUUUUUCAUUUUUGCACAGUUUUUCUUGGGUUUUCUUGUUUGCCUUUUCUUUUCGGCUUUUAGUUUCUUUCUUUAGUUUUCUUUGUUAGUUUCAACGGUUUCUUUGUUUUUCUUUGUAUCCUUCUUGGUUUUCACUCUUUUGCAUUGGUUUUCUUUGUUUUUUUACUUCUUACAGGGUUUCUUUGUUUUUCUUUGUUUCUAUGUCGAUUUCAUCGGUUUUCUUUUUGUAAUACACAUGUCAACUUUUUUCAGUACACAUUAUAUAUUUUCCAUAUUCGUCAGAAACAUAUUUUAUAUACAUGUUUAACAUUUUUUGAAAAACAAUUUAUUAUUUCUAAUUUUGUCUAUGCACAUUGUAUAUUUUUGGUAUAUAUGUAAUACAAUUUUAUAUACACAUUUUACAUUUAAAAAUACAGGAUUAUCAUUUUUUCAAUACAUGGUUAAAAAAUUCAAAAGACAGAAAAUAUUUUUUCAAUGGCAAAAAAUAUUUUUUCGCAUACAAUGUACAUUUUUGUACUCACCAGGAGCAUUUUUAUACACAGUUAAUUUUUUUAAAUACAUUAUAAACAAUUUUUCAUGCACAUUGUUUUUUUAUAUAUUUGUCGUGUACAUGACAAACAUUAUUUCAAUAAACAUUUAACAUUUUUCAAAUGUUUGAUGAUUUUUUUAAGUGAUUAAUUAACAUUUUUUUAAAUACAUGAUUAACCUUUUCCAUACACAUUGUAGUUUUUUGCAUACAUUUUCCUUAUACAUGAGAAAAUUUUCUCCAUUCACAUUAAAUUUUCCAAAUGCUUUGUUAAGAUUUUUUCAAAUGUUUUAUGUAAUGUUUAUUGUAUUAUAAAUAUUUACAAUAUUUGGAAUUAUAAAAAAACUACAAUAGAAAGCAAUAAAUAAAUAAAUAAUGUUUUAUGUAAUGUUUUAUUUAGUGGAUGAGCUCAGUUCUUACAUGGGUCUCACAUCUCCUUCUCUGUUAAAAAUAAGUAGGGGCUUCUUCCCCCUACCGGUCUAGUUAUUUUAAUAAAUAAAUAAGCAGGAGCAAAAUAGAGAAAAAAAAAACGAGGCAGUGGCCUGUGGCCACCCUCACUGGGCCGGGCCAUUUAAGGAGCCGCUUGCCGUGAGCGCAACUUAGGUGUCGCUAUAAGCCAAACAUUUUUUUAGUCUAAACAUACUUUGCUCUUUUAAGUAAUCAAGUGAUACAAUGUAAGUCCGGAGGAUUUAUGAGCCAAACAUGGCGCCCGACAUCCAAACCAAAAGCAAGUUUAGCGAGACUAUGUGCCUCGAAGUUUGACUCUCUCCCUUCGAAGAUGAAGGUUCAUUAUUGAAAAUUCUUCGAUCUUUCCAAAAUCUCCUUGAUGAUGUUUGUAUAAACGCCUCCAGUGUUGUUCUUGAUGUCAUGAACUACACCUUGGCAGUCUGAUGCCACUAGCACAUGUGAUAGCGCAAGAUCUGUAGACAUGGCGCACCCCAUAGGAGUGGCUUCGCUGAAGCCUACGCGAAUGGGCUAGCCAACUUUGGGCACAAACUGUUUGUUUAUAUUUUCCUCUUCGUUUUUGUCUUCGGUUUUUCACUGAAAAAAUAGCUAUUAUUUUAUAGAAAUAUUUUUGUAACCUAUUAAAAAUACAAAAUUAUAUUUUAAAAAUUAUUUGGUAUAUGUUUUAUGAAAGUUCUGCGUAUAUUAAAAAAUCACCAUUUAUUCAGAAAAUAUUUGCUGUGUAUUAAAAAAUGCUCAUUAUAUAUUAAAAAAUUAAUUGAUAUAAAGUAAAUAUUCAUCAUGUAUAAAAAAAGUUCAGUGUGUGUUUUGAAAAAUGUUCACUUAAUACUAAAAAAAGUUAUUGUCUAUUUGAAAAACUCACCGUAUGCUGAACACAAGUGCAUUUGAAAUUUUUUCACCGUAUAGUACAAACCUAUAAAAUUAGAAAAAAUUGAAAACCCGAAAUAACAGUGAACCCAAGAUCUCCAAAAGAAAAAAAACGGAAAGAGAAGAG